rnacentral:lncRNA from 1 species
AUCGAUGGCGGCCUUGCAAUACCUAGACUCUCUUCGAAAUGAGCAUCCAGAGCUAGCCGACUGGUAUAAUUCUCUUGCAGAUCUGUAUCAAAAGAAGCUCUGGCAUCAGCUCACUCUCAAGCUUGAGCAGUUCGUUGCUCUCACCGUCUUCCAGGUCUCUCUCUCUCUCUCUCUAUAUAUAUUCCGUGUUGUUUGGGUUUAGAGUUCGUAGAUCUCUUUUAUAUUAUGGUUUUAAGAAUUUAGGAGUUAGGGUUUUUGAAUGGAGCUGGUUACUUUUUUCUUUUCUUUUUGUUUUUUCCCUAGGGGUUUAUAGUAGAAUUUGGAUCUCAUUGUCGAGGAUUUAUUAGGGUUUUUAAUACUACUCUUACCUUUUUGUUUUUAUUUUACUUUUUACUAUUUAGUCUUAAAUUUGAAACGAAAUAAAUAAGAAUUGUUUAUACUUUAUUGCUUUGAUGUUCAACAACUCGGAGCUUAUUAAAGAAACUAUACUCACUUGGGUUUUGCCUUUAAUUUUUUUUAUUGUAAUGUUUUUGCAUAGAAUUGUUGCUAACUUGUAGUAAAAAAAGAAUUAGUGGAAAUCUUCAGUUUUGCAUGAAUUGUAUGCUGGAUAAAGUACAUGAAUAACAAUAAUUAGCAUCUAAAGCUCUGGCAUGUUUAUUUUAGGGAAAAAUUCUUCUCUGAAUUGUAGAAAUUUGAAGUGUGGUGAUGUUAUGUAACUUAGGGAUGGCAAUGGAUAAUGCGGAUUGGGAUAUUUGUGGACAUCCAACUUGCUUUUUAUAGAUUCAAAUUUUGUGGAUUCUGAUAAUAUUCAGAUUCAGAAAUUCUAAUUACUAUCCAGCUAUUCAAAGCUGAUGCAGAUUUUAACAUUCGGUAUUCAUUAUCCGAAUCCACUUUACUUUCACUGGUAAUGGAUGUGGAUUUGGAUAAUAGGUAUGCGAAUUCACUUUACGUAUAUGAAUAACGAUUCGGAUAUCCAAAUCCAUUAUCCUUUUUACUUUUUGAAAUUUUUAUUUAAAAAACAUUUUUGUACUUAUUUAGCCAAGUCUGUUAUUUGACUAAUAAUUUAAUUAAUUUGAUUUCAGAUUUGGAUAGUAAUACUCAUAUUUAAGCUGCUUAUAAUGAUUUGGAUUUUAAAGCAGAUUUGCGGACUCGAAUCCAAAUUUUGCUGAAAUUACAGAUAUCUAACCCGUUGCCAUCCCUAGUUAUGUUCCUUUACACCUCUUGUUUUCGUAGAGUACAUCUGGAAAUUUCAGUUGUGGUUUCCUACUGCUCUCGUGUCCCUCAGUGAAUAAUGCAUGGAUAACUAAUCUGAAGUGUGGUUUACUUGAUCAUUUUCAUUUACAAGAAACUCGGCUUUCUAUUUGUUUUAGUGAUUCAUAUGUACGUAAAUAAUAUGGUAGCAAAUGAACUAAUUGCACCCCAUGUGCUAGAUAUUGGCUAGGUCAUCUAACUUCCUAUGGCACUUGUUUCUCGCAAAUUUCAGGCUGGAGAUGCAUUGAUAAAGUUGUAUCGUAACUUUAUCACUGACUUUGAGACGAAGAUUAAUCCUCUCAAGCUUGCACAUUUCGCUGUUAUAGUUUCUCAGCAGUACGCAGAGAAAGAGGCUGCUAUUAGUUUCCUUGAAGGGGUGAUUGAAAAGCUUCAGGCUACUAAGGAGCAGCGCAUAGAAGAGCCAAUUCUUUAUAUUAAGAUGCAAAUUUCCAAAUUCAAGCUUGAGCAAGGUGAUCAAAAGGAGUGCAAGAAACUUCUUGAAGAUGGGAAGAGUACCCUUGACGGUAUGACUGACAUAGAUCCAUCUGUAUAUGCUACCUAUUACUGGGUUUCAUCUCAAUACCAUAAAUUUCGCCAAGAAUUUGCUGAGUUCUACAGAAGUGCUCUCCUUUAUCUUGCAUACACAUCAGUGGAGUCUCUCUCAGAAUCUUUUAAGCUGGUAUGUUUCUAUGUGUUCUCUGCCAGUCCAAUAGUACUGCCUUGUGAUAUUAUUGGAGCUCAUUAAGUUUACUCUUUUUUCUGUUUUUUAAUAUAUUUUAGGCUGUGUAGAGUUGAAUAUGGUUAUUGGAAGUCUAACACUGUACCAACAAGCCAUUUUACUCAUAUCAAGCUUUUUUGUUAAAAGUUCUUGUUAUUCAGAGUCCCCCUGCUUUUUUUUUCUUGUAAUUAUCAUUUUAUCAACCUAUUCAUCUAACAGCAGUGCCUCCGAAGUCUGAUGGCUGAUGUGCUUAAAUAUUCUGUUUUCCAGCCCCUUACACCCCAGUCAUAAUAUUGAUGGAAAUAAAUGAACUAAAGAAAUUGCUAGGAAUAUAUUUGUCCAUUGACUUCAUUUCAUUUAAUUUUAUUUGAACUCUUUUGAUUUAGGAUUUGGCAUUUGAUCUGUCCCUUUCUGCUCUUUUGGGAGAUAACAUCUACAACUUUGGAGAACUCCUUGCUCAUCCAAUUGUAAGCACAUAUUUAUCAAGUUUCUUAAAUUCACUAUAUAUUGCAACUGGUCCAAUUGUUAUGGAGAUGAUCGAUGCAGUCUUGAUUAAGAAAAUGUGCUUUUAAUUGCACAAAGAUAAGGUUCAUAGGCCUCGUUUAUGAUACUCAUGUUAAUGUAUGUGGAGGUUUAAUGACUGAAAAGUGCCUGCUAUUAAGAGCCUCUUUUCGUUUUGCAUUUCUUUUCAUGCUAUUGCAAUUGCAUGAAUACAUUCUUAUUUUUCAUUGUGUUGGAUUGAUUUAAAAGGGAGUUUGUGUGUUGUAGUUUUUUUUCUUUUUCUUUUUUUCCCUUCUGAAUUUCUUUGCUUUGAUGUUUUUAUUUUGUUAUGUUUGAGAUGAUGACUGUUGGCAUCAUUUACAGAUAAAGAGUCUUCUGGGGACCAAGGUGGAGUGGCUUUAUUAUAUCCUCCAAUCCUUCAACUCUGGGAAUUUGGUUCGCUAUGAAGAAUUGUGUCGCGUGCACAAUGCUGCACUGAGUGCUCAACCAGCCUUGGUUGAGAAUGAGAAGAAGCUCUUGGAAAAAAUUAAUAUUCUAUGCUUAAUGGAGAUUAUCUUCAGGUGUGUAUUGUUUUAGUGUACCCUAAGAGAUCAGGUCAAAGUUGUUGAUAAUUAUAUGUGGUUAAAAACUAAAGUACAAUAUGUUUCAAUGCAGCCGCCCUUCUGAUGAUCGAACUAUUCCUUUAAAAGUUAUUGCUGAGAGAACAAAAUUGUCAAUUGAGGAUGUUGAGUAUCUUCUCAUGAAGAGCCUGUCUGUAAGUUAAAAUAUUCAUAAUAUUGUUGUCAUCUUUAUUUUUACACGUAUUCAUUUUCCUUUAUCUUCAGUUUUUUUCAUGACACCUUAAUAGGGAAUGCAAACUAUAAGGGGACACAAUAAAUUUUGGAUAUUAGCCAAGGAAAAUACAAAUUAUCAUGAAUAGUGAACAUUUGUGGAAGUCCAAGUCUCAAUUUUUCAUAUGGACGAUGCAUCAUUGUAUACAUUUGAUUCGAAGCCUGCAUGUAGCAACUAGCUAUACUUCAGAGGGUUCAAAAUUCUAAAGAUAACUUGUAUAACCUUUUUGCGAAUAAUGACUGCAGGUUCGUCUGAUUGAGGGCAUAAUUGAUCAAGUUGAGGGAACAAUUCAUGUCUCUUGGGUGCAGCCAAGAGUUUUGGGGAUUCCACAGAUCAAAUCCUUGCGUGACCGGUUGGAUAAUUGGAUGGGCAAAGUACAUAACGCUUGGUUAUCAAUUGAGGCUGAAACACCUGAUCUUGUUGCAUCAUGAAUUUUUUUCUCCAGUUCCUUUCUGCCAUUGUAACAAUUUCGUUAUUUGAAAAGGGCAAGAAAAAGGGAAAGUGAAAUGAUGAGCAAUGAGGAUAGAGAUAAGCGUUAGUCAUUUGCGGGUAGAGCUAUCUUUGUAUGAUUCCUUUAGUAGGUAUUGCUUGAUCCUUAAAUCUUUGUUCUGAAAGGAGCGGCUCAUGUACUAAACUUUUCACUUUUU